rnacentral:rRNA from 1 species
GAUGAACGCUGGCGGCGUGCCUAAUACAUGCAAGUCGAGCGAACGGACGAGAAGCUUGCUUCUCUGAUGUUAGCGGCGGACGGGUGAGUAAUACGUGGAUAACCUACCUAUAAGACUGGGAUAACUUCGGGAAACCGUAGCUAAUACCGGAUAAUAUUUUGAACCGCAUGGUUCAAAAGUGAAAGACGGUCUUGCUGUCACUUAUAGAUGGAUCCGCGCUGCAUUAGCUAGUUGGUAAGGUAACGGCUUACCAAGGCAACGAUGCAUAGCCGACCUGAGAGGGUGAUCGGCCACACUGGAACUGAGACACGGUCCAGACUCCUACGGGAGGCAGCAGUAGGGAAUCUUCCGCAAUGGGCGAAAGCCUGACGGAGCAACGCCGCGUGAGUGAUGAAGGUCUUCGGAUCGUAAAACUCUGUUAUUAGGGAAGAACAUAUGUGUAAGUAACUGUGCACAUCUUGACGGUACCUAAUCAGAAAGCCACGGCUAACUACGUG